UACAUGGGGUGCAAACGUUGCUCGGAAUUAUUGGGCGUAAAGCGCGCGUAGGCGGUUACUUAUGUCGGAUGUGAAAGCCCUCGGCUUAACUGAGGAGGUGCAUUCGAAACUGGGUAGCUAGAGUACUAAAGAGGGUCGCGGAAUUCCCGGUGUAGAGGUGAAAUUCGUAGAUAUCGGGAGGAACACCGGUGGCGAAGGCGGCGACCUGGGCCGAUACUGACGCUGAGGAGCGAAAGCGUGGGGAGCAAACAGG
rnacentral:rRNA from 1 species